GAUGAACGCUGGCGGCGUGCCUAAUACAUGCAAGUCGAGCGAACGGACGAGAAGCUUGCUUUUCUGACGUUAGCGGCGGACGGGUGAGUAACACGUGGAUAACCUACCUAUAAGACUGGGAUAACUUCGGGAAACCGGAGCUAAUACCGGAUAAUAUUUUGAACCGCAUGGUUCAAAAGUGAAAGACGGUCUUGCUGUCACUUAUAGAUGGAUCCGCGCUGCGUUAGCUAGUUGGUAAGGUAACGGCUUACCAAGGCAACGAUGCAUAGCCGACCUGAGAGGGUGGUCGGCCACACUGGAACUGGGACACGGUCCAGACGCCUACGGGAGGCAGCAGUAGGGAAUCUUCCGCAAUGGGCGAAAGCCUGACGUAGCAACGCCGCGUGAGUGAUGAAGGUCUUCGGAUCUUAAAACUCUGUUAUUAGGGAAGAACAUAUGUGUAAGUAACUGUGCACAUCUUGACGGUACCUAAUCAGAAAGCCACGGCUAACUACGUG
rnacentral:rRNA from 1 species